AGCUGUCAUACACUGACCAUAGCAGGUCCGUAUAGAACUAGGGAAGUUUGAUAGCUGACAUACACUAACCAUAGCAGGUCAGCAUAAAACUAGGGAAGUUUGAUAGCUGUCAUACACUAACCAUAGCAGGUCAGUAUAGAACUAGGGAAGUUUGAUAGCUGUCAUACACUAACCAUAGCAGGUCAGUAUAGAACUAGGGAAGUUUGAUAGCUGUCAUACACUGACCAUAGCAGGUCCGUAUAGAACUAGGGAAGUUUGAUAGCUGACAUACACUAACCAUAGCAGGUCAGCAUAAAACUAGGGAAGUUUGAUAGCUGUCAUACACUAACCAUAGCAGGUCAGUAUAGAACUAGGGAAGUUUGAUAGCUGUCAUACACUAACCAUAGCAGGUCAGUAUAGAACUAGGGAAGUUUGAUAGCUGUCAUACACUAACCAUAGCAGGUCAGUAUAGAACUAGGGAAGUUUGAUAGCUGUCAUACACUAACCAUAGCAGGUCAGCAUAAAACUAGGGAAGUUUGAUAGCUGUCAUACACUAACCAUAGCAGGUCAGUAUAGAACUAGGGAAGUUUGAUAGCUGUCAUACACUAACCAUAGCAGGUC